rnacentral:lncRNA from 1 species
ACAGAUUAGUCCAUUAAAUACAAAGGAAACACUGCAGUGGACCUGGCCGGGAUGUUCAUUGAAUUGGUGAACAAUACUGACCCUCGGCGCACUGCAUCUGGGGUGAUCAGGAUGAAGACAAGCUUCAGGUUGAAGGCUGAGCGUCAUCUCCUUAAAAUGCAGGCUGGUCUUCAUCCUGCUUGGCUUGAAGUUCCCAGGCUCGGAGUCAGUGAAAGGGUGCCUGCUAGCUGCUAAUCUCAGCUCCAGAGGACCCCAGUUAAUGCUGCUUCCCUGGCUCACCUCCUGACAUCCAGGAACUCAGGUAAGUUUAUCAGAUGGACCGGGUGGUACCAACCUGG